GUAGGUGGCAAGCGUUGUCCGGAAUUAUUGGGCGUAAAGCGCGCGCAGGCGGUUCUUUAAGUCUGAUGCGAAAGCCCACGGCUCAACCGUGGAGGGUCAUUGGAAACUGGAGAACUUGAGUACAGAAGAGGAAAGCGGAAUUCCACGUGUAGCGGUGAAAUGCGUAGAGAUGUGGAGGAACACCAGUGGCGAAGGCGGCUUUCUGGUCUGUAACUGACGCUGAGGCGCGAAAGCGUGGGGGAGCAAACAGGAUUAGAUACCCUGGUAGUCCACGCCGUAAACGAUGAGUGCUAAGUGUUAGGGGGUUUCCGCCCCUUAGUGCUGCAGCUAACGCAUUAAGCACUCCGCCUGGGAGUACGGCCGCAAGGCUG
rnacentral:rRNA from 1 species